AAUAAGUACCAGUUCAAUAAAUUUAGUUGGGGCAAAAUGAGUAAGACAAGACAAGGUAAAUUUGCCUCUUCACUUCUCAAAAAUUACAUUUGAAAACGGACUCAUA